rnacentral:rRNA from 1 species
UCGCCUGUUUAUCAAAAACAUGUCCUUAUGAUUAAUAAUUUAAGGUCUGACCUGCCCACUGAAUAAAGUUUAAAGGGCCGCGGUAUUUUGACCGUGCAAAGGUAGCAUAAUCAUUAGUCUUUUAAUUGGAGGCUGGAAUGAAUGGUUGGACGAGGCAUUGACUGUCUCAGUGUAAAUGAUAUUAGAAUUUAACUUUUGAGUCAAAAGGCUUAAAUUUUUUUAAGGGACGAGAAGACCCUAUAGAGCUUUAUAAUUAAUUAUUAUAAUUUAUUUAGUUGAAUUUAGAUUAUAGUUUGUCAAUUAUUUUGUUGGGGUGACAGGAAGAUAAAUAAAACUCUUUUUAAUUUUUAUCCAUUGAUUUAUGAAUUAUUGAUCCAUUAUUAGUGAUUAAAAGACUAAGUUACCUUAGGGAUAACAGCGUAAUCUUUUUUGAGAGUUCUUAUCGACAAAAAGGGUUGCGACCUCGAUGUUGGAUUAAGGGUAAUUUUGGGUGUAGAUGUUCAAAGUUUAGGUCUGUUCGACCUUUAGAUCCUUACAUGAUCUGAGUUCAAACCGGAGA